rnacentral:lncRNA from 1 species
UUUCACGUACAUACCCUUUUAAAGGGUUAAAAACUUGAUUAGAGAUGUAUUAGGAGUCCUAAACAAAGCCAGAUAACUUCUGGACCGUCGGAUCAAGAUCGGGAGCCAUCCAUGCCCUCAGAUCGUGCUCCGGUCCACGAAAUAGUGCCGUGGACCGCGAGAAACACGUAGAAAACGCCCACGCGGUCCACAGGCCCAGCCGUGGACCGCCCGGU